GACGAACGCUGGCGGCGUGCUUAACACAUGCAAGUCGAACGGAAAGGCCCUGCUUUUGUGGGGUGCUCGAGUGGCGAACGGGUGAGUAACACGUGAGUAACCUGCCCUUGACUUUGGGAUAACUUCAGGAAACUGGGGCUAAUACCGGAUAGGAGCUCCUGCUGCAUGGUGGGGGUUGGAAAGUUUCGGCGGUUGGGGAUGGACUCGCGGCUUAUCAGCUUGUUGGUGGGGUAGUGGCUUACCAAGGCUUUGACGGGUAGCCGGCCUGAGAGGGUGACCGGCCACAUGGGGACUGAGAUACGGCCCAGACUCCUACGGGAGGCAGCAGUGGGGAAUAUUGCACAAUGGGCGGAAGCCUGAUGCAGCAACGCCGCGUGCGGGAUGACGGCCUUCGGGUUGUAAACCGCUUUCGCCUGUGACGAAGCGUGAGUGACGGUAAUGGGUAAAGAAGCACCGGCGAAAUACGU
rnacentral:rRNA from 1 species